rnacentral:rRNA from 1 species
GUGGGGAAUAUUGGACAAUGGGGGGAACCCUGAUCCAGCCAUGCCGCGUGUGUGAAGAAGGCCUUUUGGUUGUAAAGCACUUUAAGCGAGGAGGAGGCUACCGAGAUUAAUACUCUUGGAUAGUGGACGUUACUCGCAGAAUAAGCACCGGCUAACUCUGUGCCAGCAGCCGCGGUAAUACAGAGGGUGCAAGCGUUAAUCGGAUUUACUGGGCGUAAAGCGCGCGUAGGUGGCCAAUUAAGUCAAAUGUGAAAUCCCCGAGCUUAACUUGGGAAUUGCAUCCGAUACUGGUUGGCUAGAGUAUGGGAGAGGAUGGUAGAAUUCCAGGUGUAGCGGUGAAAUGCGUAGAGAUCUGGAGGAAUACCGAUGGCGAAGGCAGCCAUCUGGCCUAAUACUGACGCUGAGGUACGAAAGCAUGGGGAGCAAACAGGAUUAGAUACCCCGGUAGUCC